rnacentral:rRNA from 1 species
UCUGGUGACAAUGGCGGAGGGGUCACACCCGUUCCCAUCCCGAACACGGCAGUUAAGCCCUCCUGCGCCGAUGGUACUUGGGGCGUUGGCCCCUGGGAGAGUAGGUCGUUGCCGGAU